rnacentral:piRNA from 1 species
UGAAUGUGUUGACUUCAGGACUCGCUGCCGGU